UUGAAUUUAUGAAAGAUGAACAACUGCGAAAGCAUUUGCCAAGGAUGUUUUCAUUAAUCAAGAACGAAAGUUGAUGACAGAUC